GUCCAUUAUCAAUGAUUAUCACUGAAAUAGUAUACCUUGUUGUUAUUAUGUUAAGGGGCCAGCGAAAGCAAACCGGGUGUGGGAGUUUCUCCCUGCAUUGAACAGGUUGGAACAAACCCUCUAUAUGAUGAUUAUACCUGUAUAGAGGGAUAAUCCUUCUAUCAUGUCUAUAGAGGGGUAAAAUUAUCCCUCUAUAGAGGGG
rnacentral:lncRNA from 1 species